GGUUAAGCGACUAAGCGUACACGGUGGAUGCCCUGGCAGUCAGAGGCGAUGAAGGACGUGCUAAUCUGCGAUAAGCGUCGGUAAGGUGAUAUGAACCGUUAUAACCGGCGAUUUCCGAAUGGGGAAACCCAGUGUGAUUCGUCACACUAUCAUUAACUGAAUCCAUAGGUUAAUGAGGCGAACCGGGGGAACUGAAACAUCUAAGUACCCCGAGGAAAAGAAAUCAACCGAGAUUCCCCCAGUAGCGGCGAGCGAACGGGGAGCAGCCCAGAGCCUGAAUCAGUGUGUGUGUUAGUGGAAGCGUCUGGAAAGGCGUGCGAUACAGGGUGACAGCCCCGUACACAAAAAUGCACAUAUUGUGAGCUCGAUGAGUAGGGCGGGACACGUGGUAUCCUGUCUGAAUAUGGGGGGACCAUCCUCCAAGGCUAAAUACUCCUGACUGACCGAUAGUGAACCAGUACCGUGAGGGAAAGGCGAAAAGAACCCCGGCGAGGGGAGUGAAAAAGAACCUGAAACCGUGUACGUACAAGCAGUGGGAGCACGCUUAGGCGUGUGACUGCGUACCUUUUGUAUAAUGGGUCAGCGACUUAUAUUCUGUAGCAAGGUUAACCGAAUAGGGGAGCCGAAGGGAAACCGAGUCUUAACUGGGCGUUAAGUUGCAGGGUAUAGACCCGAAACCCGGUGAUCUAGCCAUGGGCAGGUUGAAGGUUGGGUAACACUAACUGGAGGACCGAACCGACUAAUGUUGAAAAAUUAGCGGAUGACUUGUGGCUGGGGGUGAAAGGCCAAUCAAACCGGGAGAUAGCUGGUUCUCCCCGAAAGCUAUUUAGGUAGCGCCUCGUGAAUUCAUCUCCGGGGGUAGAGCACUGUUUCGGCAAGGGGGUCAUCCCGACUUACCAACCCGAUGCAAACUGCGAAUACCGGAGAAUGUUAUCACGGGAGACACACGGCGGGUGCUAACGUCCGUCGUGAAGAGGGAAACAACCCAGACCGCCAGCUAAGGUCCCAAAGUCAUGGUUAAGUGGGAAACGAUGUGGGAAGGCCCAGACAGCCAGGAUGUUGGCUUAGAAGCAGCCAUCAUUUAAAGAAAGCGUAAUAGCUCACUGGUCGAGUCGGCCUGCGCGGAAGAUGUAACGGGGCUAAACCAUGCACCGAAGCUGCGGCAGCGACGCUUAUGCGUUGUUGGGUAGGGGAGCGUUCUGUAAGCCUGCGAAGGUGUGCUGUGAGGCAUGCUGGAGGUAUCAGAAGUGCGAAUGCUGACAUAAGUAACGAUAAAGCGGGUGAAAAGCCCGCUCGCCGGAAGACCAAGGGUUCCUGUCCAACGUUAAUCGGGGCAGGGUGAGUCGACCCCUAAGGCGAGGCCGAAAGGCGUAGUCGAUGGGAAACAGGUUAAUAUUCCUGUACUUGGUGUUACUGCGAAGGGGGGACGGAGAAGGCUAUGUUGGCCGGGCGACGGUUGUCCCGGUUUAAGCGUGUAGGCUGGUUUUCCAGGCAAAUCCGGAAAAUCAAGGCUGAGGCGUGAUGACGAGGCACUACGGUGCUGAAGCAACAAAUGCCCUGCUUCCAGGAAAAGCCUCUAAGCAUCAGGUAACAUCAAAUCGUACCCCAAACCGACACAGGUGGUCAGGUAGAGAAUACCAAGGCGCUUGAGAGAACUCGGGUGAAGGAACUAGGCAAAAUGGUGCCGUAACUUCGGGAGAAGGCACGCUGAUAUGUAGGUGAAGUCCCUCGCGGAUGGAGCUGAAAUCAGUCGAAGAUACCAGCUGGCUGCAACUGUUUAUUAAAAACACAGCACUGUGCAAACACGAAAGUGGACGUAUACGGUGUGACGCCUGCCCGGUGCCGGAAGGUUAAUUGAUGGGGUUAGCGCAAGCGAAGCUCUUGAUCGAAGCCCCGGUAAACGGCGGCCGUAACUAUAACGGUCCUAAGGUAGCGAAAUUCCUUGUCGGGUAAGUUCCGACCUGCACGAAUGGCGUAAUGAUGGCCAGGCUGUCUCCACCCGAGACUCAGUGAAAUUGAACUCGCUGUGAAGAUGCAGUGUACCCGCGGCAAGACGGAAAGACCCCGUGAACCUUUACUAUAGCUUGACACUGAACAUUGAGCCUUGAUGUGUAGGAUAGGUGGGAGGCUUUGAAGUGUGGACGCCAGUCUGCAUGGAGCCGACCUUGAAAUACCACCCUUUAAUGUUUGAUGUUCUAACGUUGACCCGUAAUCCGGGUUGCGGACAGUGUCUGGUGGUAGUUUGACUGGGGCGGUCUCCUCCUAAAGAGUAACGGAGGAGCACGAAGGUUGGCUAAUCCUGGUCGGACAUCAGGAGGUUAGUGCAAUGGCAUAAGCCAGCUUGACUGCGAGCGUGACGGCGCGAGCAGGUGCGAAAGCAGGUCAUAGUGAUCCGGUGGUUCUGAAUGGAAGGGCCAUCGCUCAACGGAUAAAAGGUACUCCGGGGAUAACAGGCUGAUACCGCCCAAGAGUUCAUAUCGACGGCGGUGUUUGGCACCUCGAUGUCGGCUCAUCACAUCCUGGGGCUGAAGUAGGUCCCAAGGGUAUGGCUGUUCGCCAUUUAAAGUGGUACGCGAGCUGGGUUUAGAACGUCGUGAGACAGUUCGGUCCCUAUCUGCCGUGGGCGCUGGAGAACUGAGGGGGGCUGCUCCUAGUACGAGAGGACCGGAGUGGACGCAUCACUGGUGUUCGGGUUGUCAUGCCAAUGGCACUGCCCGGUAGCUAAAUGCGGAAGAGAUAAGUGCUGAAAGCAUCUAAGCACGAAACUUGCCCCGAGAUGAGUUCUCCCUGACUCCUUGAGAGUCCUGAAGGAACGUUGAAGACGACGACGUUGAUAGGCCGGGUGUGUAAGCGCAGCGAUGCGUUGAGCUAACCGGUACUAAUGAACCGUGAGGCUUAACCUU
rnacentral:rRNA from 1 species